rnacentral:tRNA from 1 species
GCCAGUUUGGCUCAGUGGUUGAGCAUCAGGCUAUGAACCAGUAGGUCAGGGUUCAAUUCCCGGUCAGGGCA